AGUUGGGUUGCUAAUCCCAAAGCCAACGGUGGUUGUUGCUGCUGCUGCUGCAGGAAGCGGGUGUGGCAGUGUGAAUGAUGAAUUAGAAGAAGAAGGCGCCACGUUUGCGUUGUGAAGAGCCUCAAGUUGCGUAAAGAAUUUAUUUCUGAAAAAGUCAUGCAAACGGAUCUGGAGAUAUAUAUCAAAAAA